rnacentral:pre_miRNA from 1 species
GAUGGGCUCAGUUGUGUCCUGCCUUGGCUCUGCUGUGAGGAACUGUCUGGAGCCGGCCAUGUCAGGCACAGUGCAGCCCCUU